CCUACGGGAGGCAGCAGUGAGGAAUAUUGGUCAAUGGACGAGAGUCUGAACCAGCCAAGUAGCGUAAAGGAUGACUGCCCUAUGGGUUGUAAACUUCUUUUAUAAAGGAAUAAAACGAGGCACGUGUGCCUUUUUGCAUGUACUUUAUGAAUAAGGAUCGGCUAAAUCCGGGCCAGCAGCCGCGGUAAUACGGAGGAUCCGAGCGUUAUCCGGAUUUAUUGGGUUUAAAGGGAGCGUAGAUGGGUUGUUAAGUCAGUUGUGAAAGUUUGCGGCUCAACCGUAAAAUCGCAAUUGAUACUGGCAGUCGUGAGUACAGUUGAGGUAGGCGGAAUUCGUGGUGUAGCGGUGAAAUGCUUAGAUAUCACGAAGAACCCCGAUUGCGAAGGCAGCUUACUAAACUGUGACUGACAUUGAUGCUCGAAAGUGUGGGUAUCAAACAGGAUUAGAUACCCGUGUAGUC
rnacentral:rRNA from 1 species